rnacentral:rRNA from 1 species
UACGUAGGGUGCGAGCGUUAAUCGGAAUUACUGGGCGUAAAGCGUGCGCAGGCGGUUUGUUAAGUCCGCUGUGAAAGCCCCGGGCUCAACCUGGGAAUGGCGGUGGAAACUGGCGAGCUAGAGUGUGUCAGAGGGGGGUGGAAUUCCACGUGUAGCAGUGAAAUGCGUAGAUAUCUGCAGGAACACCCGUGGCGAAAGCGGCGCGCUGGACCACUACUGACGCUGAGGAACGAAAGCUAGGGGAGCAAACAGG